rnacentral:lncRNA from 1 species
CGAUUAUAAAUCAAUCACCCUUUACUGAAGAGAUUACAAACUUUCAAAGAAAACAAGAAUUAUUGAAUUUGGUUGAGAAACAAAACAGAAAAAACUAGGCGCUAUCCAAUAGCCCUGAAAUUUUCUAGAAACACACUUAGCAGCCUUAGCGACGCAAGCCACGUCAGCAAAAUUAUUUGCACAAUGACCCCUAAACUAUAGUCAAUCAGCACUCUGAUCCACGAACUCUCUCUCGUUUGCACUUAGGUCCCAAAAACAAAAUUCAUUUCUUCACAGCAGCGUAUCCCGAUAAACUAAGGCUAUGUUCAGUUGGCAGGAGAGAAGCCUGGAAAGGAAAGAAUCUCAGUUUCCUAAGAAGUUUCCGCUAGUCGGUUUGCAACAAUUUACCGUUGAAACCAAAUUCUGAGAAAUCCACAUUCUGUGAUUUGAGGAAUUGACCUUCCUCUUUGAUUAGCAAGGAUGAUGUGGGAGGGAAUCUCAUUUAAAUAGAGUGAGUUUCCAUUUUACCCUUACUUAAAUAUUAAUUUCGUAUUUCGAUCUUUAACCAAAUUAAAUGAAAUAUGACCGUAAUUCGCAUUUCGUGUUCAGCAUCUCUCUUAUCUGAACUAUCGGCAGCUCUCACCGGCGAUGUGCAGCUAUUGCGACGGCGUUUGAAUCUUAUUACCUUUCGCCGAUGAGCUCCAAGCCAAUGACAAAGACCUUCAUUGCUAUAGGCGACGACAUUUGAAUCGUAUGAGCUUUCUCAUCCCUUUCAACCAUUUUAAUUUUGUUUCUUUGGUUAUUUUGAUGGUAUUGCUGAUUUGAAGAGGGCUACUGAGUCUUUUGUUGCUUGAAUUUGGAUUAGUUUUUGUUAUUUCAGACGUGGGAUUUUGUGUCGCUGUUGUAGAUUUUGUUGUUUUAUGUUGUUUAUGGAUGAUUAAGUUUUAUUUCGUAGCUUACUGUUCAGAGUUGACAAAACGUAAAUAGCAGCCCAUUUAUAAUUUGAAUAUGAUCUCUUGUUCUGUUGCUUUUUAAUUAAUGGUCAAUUGUGCAAGUUAAUUCUCAUGGAAGGUUGUUAUUGAUCAUCAACUUAAUCUUCAAUUUUCAUGUUUAACUAGAUGCCGUGAUUAUGAUGAUUAGUUUAACUGGGAAUGUCCUUUUCAAUUUGCAACCAUGACAAGGAGAUGGGGUUCAGGACGAAGGGUAAUAAUCUCUGCUACCUUUCUGGGGAAGUUUACUACGUGUAUAUAUAGAAUCAUGGACGGUUUUAGGAGUACAAGUGUCCAGCUUUUUAAUUUUCUUUUUCUUUUAGCUUUUAUUCCAUUGCCUACUUUUGUUUUCUAUCAGUUACAACAUUUUCUUUUACUAGUUUAUCAACAGAUGGGGAUUAUUUCAUGAAUAAUUGCUAAAAGUCGAACUACCAAUACCCCAUAGAAAUGUCCAAUAUGUUAACGUAGCCAGCCACUGCCUGGUUCCUUUUUAUCUUUCUAUUGCUUUAUGCCUCUUGGGCUUAAUAUUUCUAAAAUUAUUGGCCUAAAAGUAAUUAAACCCAGUUAGUCGCUGUUUUCACUUAUUACACUCAGCAUAAUACCCACAUUGAAAGUAAUUCUAGGCCUAGGAAGAGGAUAUAAAUCAUUUUCAGCCCAGCAAGGCCCCAUUACUUGAGACUUUUUGGAAAACAUUAGGACUAUCCUUUGAUUGAAAAAUGAAGUAUUAUUGACCAAUUGAUUGAAAAAGAAAUGAAUAUAUUUGUAUAUAUUAAUUCAAUUUGAUUAUCUGGUGAAAUGCCAGUGAAACAGCAGCUAGGCUAAGGCUAGCAAUGGACAUGCAAAUGCUGUUUCCAAAUAAACACCUUUGUGCUGCUGCUUUAGUUGAAAUUAGUGUCGUCAGCAGUGAAUAUAUUGCUCUAUUGGAUUCAAAUGGUGAAUUAAUUUGAAAGAAAAAGUGAGAAAAUUAAUGGUGAGUGAUAAAUGCCAACGUUGUAUGUUCACGGACUGAGAGUUGGAUAAUAAUACUUAGUGCAUUUAAGUAAUUAAAAUUUAGAGACAUUGUAUGAUCAUCCACUGAGAACUGGAUAAUAAUUGCGACAUGGCUAGCAAUUUUUGUCAAAGUCCUUGAUUCAAUAUUCUGUAAACAAAAGCUAGCUGGCUUGUAUAAAUUGUCUAAAUUUGUAUCUAGUUUCACCUUUGAAAAACUUGGUCUUUCACUUCUAAUAUUAGUGAUGGCUUAAUAGAUAUUAAUUUGGAAAUUUUGAUUGAUUUUAGAAGGCUGUGAGGUUUGAUUUGUUAAAAGAGACAGCUGAAAAUUAGUGAUGACUUAAUAGAUAUUUCAACGUAAACACUGUUAAAAGAUUUAUUUUUAUUUUUUCUUUUGGUUGUGGAAUUAUUUGUUGAUAUAACUAAACACUGUCUUUUCUUUUUGUUUUAUUGGUUACAAUAAUGAAUGACUUGUGCUUAACUGUGUUUGCUAAUAUCAGUAGUGGUUCUUUAUAUAUAUCUGUAUAUCUACAUAAGAACAUGCUCUGUUUCCUCAGCUGCAUCUCAACUGCAGUUUGAAUUUAAUUCAGCUGGUGGAGAUGAUGGAACCAUAAGGUAUAAUCGAGCCACGUCAAUGCAUGCAGCCAGAGAUCGUUGAUCACAUUCAUCCUAAGCUUUCAGAUUACAAUGACUUGGCUAGAAGAAAGAAGAUAGCAGUAUUUUUUAUUCAUUUCUUCCCACAAUUGAUAUUCAUGAUGAAUUUCCUGUGUUUCAUCAUGUUAAUUAUGUUUAUCCUUUUUUUAUAUUAAAAAACUUAUGUUUUUAUUUAAGUUUUUAUUAUUUCAUUUUCUUAGCUGUGGAUACAAUAAUAUUCAUGUCGUAAAUCAUGGCAAGAGCACUUCCA